CCCGCUGAACUUAAGCAUAUCAAUAAGGCGAGGAACAGAAACCAACAGGGAUUCCCCUAGUAGUGGCGAAUGAAGCGGGAAAAGCUCAAGUUUGAAAUCUGGCGGGCAACCUCCAGAGUUGUAAGCUGAAGAGGCAUAGACCGACGCGGUCCGGGCUCAAUUUCCUUGGAACAGGAGGUCAUGGAGGGUGAGAACCCCGUCUGUGGCUCGAGUGCCGUCGUCCUUGUGUCUUGUCCUCGUAGAGUCGGGUUGUUUGGGAAUGCAGCUCAAAAUGGGUGGUAAAUUUCAUCUAAAGCUAAAUAUUGGCGAGAGACCGAUAGCAAACAAGUAGAGUGAUCGAAAGAUGAAAAGUACUUUGAAAAGAGAGUGAAACAGUACGUGAAAUUGUUGAAAGGGAAGCGUUUGGCAUCAGCCCAUGGCGCUCAAAGAUCAUCCAGGCUUCUGUCUGGUGCACUUUUUGAGCGUUGGGCCAGCGUCGACUUUGCCUGCCGGAGAAAGGCCUUGGGGAUGUGUCUCUCUUCGGGGAGAGUUAUAACCCUCGGCGUCAUGCGGUGUGGUGGGGUCGAGGUCCGCGGUUUAUCCUAGGACGCUGGCGUAAUGGUUCCAAGCGACCCGUCUUGAAACACGG
rnacentral:rRNA from 1 species